rnacentral:rRNA from 1 species
UGUGCUAAUACCGCAUAAUCUCUGAGGAGAAAAGCAGGGGAUCGCAAGACCUUGCGCUUUUGGAGCGGCCGAUGUCUGAUUAGCUUGUUGGUAAGGUAAAAGCUUACCAAGGCUUCGAUCAGUAGCUGGUCUGAGAGGACGACCAGCCACACUGGGACUGAGACACGGCCCAGACUCCUACGGGAGGCAGCAGUGGGGAAUUUUGGACAAUGGGGGCAACCCUGAUCCAGCCAUGCCGCGUGAGUGAAGAAGGCCUUCGGGUUGUAGAGCUCUUUCAGCCGGAACGAAACGGUUACGGUUAAUACCCGUGACUACUGACGGUACCGGAAGAAGAAGCACCGGCUAACUACGUGCCAGCAGCCGCGGUAAUACGUAGGGUGCGAGCGUUAAUCGGAAUUACUGGGCGUAAAGCGUGCGCAGGUGGUUUUGUAAGUCAGAUGUGAAAUCCCCGGGCUCAACCUGGGAACUGCGUUUGAAACUACAAGGCUAGAGUGUGGCAGAGGGGGGUGGAAUUCCGCGUGUAGCAGUGAAAUGCGUAGAGAUGUGGAGGAACACCGAUGGCGAAGGCAGCCCCCUGGGUCAACACUGACGCUCAGGCACGAAAGCAUGGGGAGCAAACAGGAUUAGAUACCCUGGUAGUCCAUGCCCUAAACGAUGUCAACUAGUUGUCGGGCCUUAACGGGCUUGGUAACGUAGCUAACGCGUGAAGUUGACCGCCUGGGGAGUACGAUCGCAAGAUUAAAACUCAAAGGAAUUGACGGGGACCCGCACAAGCGGUGGAUUAUGUGGAUUAAUUCGAUGCAACGCGAAAAACCUUACCUACCCUUGACAUGUAUCGAAGCCCGCAGAAAAGCGGGGGUGCCCGAAAGGGAACGAUAACACAGGUGCUGCAUGGCUGUCGUCAGCUCGUGUCGUGAGAUGUUGGGUUAAGUCCCGCAACGAGCGCAACCCUUGUCAUUAAUUGCCAUCAUUUAGUUGGGCACUUUAAUGAGACUGCCGGUGACAAGCCGGAGGAAGGUGGGGAUGACGUCAAGUCCUCAUGGCCCUUAUGGGUAGGGCUUCACACGUAA